UAUAAUGUUUUGACUUUUCGUUUUAUUUGAAAUUUUUUUGCGAUUAAUAUUUUUAUUCUUGCUAGAUGAUAAAACAUGAAUAAUAUUUUACGUAUGACUAAUUUUUUAUAAAUUUUUUAAAUAAGACGAAUGGUCAAGCGUUGGAUACGGAAA
rnacentral:pre_miRNA from 1 species